rnacentral:rRNA from 1 species
UACAGAGGUCUCAAGCGUUGUUCGGAUUCAUUGGGCGUAAAGGGGGCGUAGGCGGCGAGGUUAGUCGGAUGUGAAAUCCCAGGGCUCAACCCUGAAACUGCAUUCGAUACUGCGUGGCUAGAGUGCUGGAGAGGAGACUGGAAUUUACGGUGUAGCAGUGAAAUGCGUAGAUAUCGUAAGGAAGACCAGUGGCGAAGGCGAGUCUCUGGACAGCAACUGACGCUGAGGCACGAAGGCCAGGGGAGCAAACGGG